UACGUAGGGUCCGAGCGUUGUCCGGAAUUAUUGGGCGUAAAGAGCUCGUAGGCGGUGUGUCGCGUCGGCCGUGAAAACCUGCAGCUUAACUGUGGGCUUGCGGUCGAUACGGGCAUCACUGGAGUUCGGCAGGGGAGACUGGAAUUCCUGGUGUAGCGGUGAAAUGCGCAGAUAUCGGGAGGAACACCGGUGGCGAAGGCGGGUCUAGCUGGGCCGAUACUGACGCUGAGGAGCGAAAGCGUGGGGAGCGAACAGG
rnacentral:rRNA from 1 species